rnacentral:siRNA from 1 species
UUGUUGCCUUUGUUGCCUUGUU